GGGGAGAUCUUCGAGCUGAAGGCAGAGCUCAACAGUGACAAGAAGGAGAAGAAGAAGGAGGCAGUGAAGAAAGUGAUUGCAUCGAUGACCGUGGGCAAAGAUGUCAGGGGAGUCCGGCCAGCUUGAGCUAUGCGGAUCCUGAGCGUGAUCCCGGGUAGGCGUUUGCCCCGGUGGAACACCUCGUCAGAGCAGUGCACGGCAGGCCCCCGCAGAGGAUCAACGCAGUGGCUGAGCAACGGGAAGGAACUGGCGCUUGGAGUCCGGAUAUCUGGAACACGGUGAUUCUCAUCUGCUGGCCUGGAGGUGGCCUGCCAUGUAAGAGGACACACAGCAUACCAUGGAGCUGCUGCGUGCCCCAGUCCUGUGCACACUCAACGCCUGGCUUCUGCUUUCCCAGCUCUGACAAUCCUAAUUCUGGCUUCCAAAGCAAUCCUGUACUUCCCUCGCAGUUCUCAGACUUGCCUGAACUGUUUAACGUUUUAAUCAAUCUUGUGACCACGACUGAGCUGUGACAUUUGAUACAUCAUAGUAUAUUUUUAUCCAUUUAUAGAUAUGUUAAUAGCAUUUAACUUCAUUUUUCAGAGUUUAAGGAACAUUUCUUGGCUA